CCUUGGAGUGGGGAAUAACAGCUGGAAACAGCUGCUAAUACCGCAUGAUAUGUCUGUAUCACAUGGUACUGGACAUCAAAGAUCUAUCGCUCUGAGAUGGGCUCGCGUCUGAUUAGCUAGUUGGUGGGGCAACGGCCCACCAAGGCGACGAUCAGUAGCCGGACUGAGAGGUUGGCCGGCCACAUUGGGACUGAGACACGGCCCAGACUCCUACGGGAGGCAGCAG
rnacentral:rRNA from 1 species